AUUUAAAUAGUUUAAUUAAAAUAUUGAUUUGUGGUUUCAAUGAUAUAAGAGAAAUUUUAUUUUAAAUU
rnacentral:tRNA from 1 species